GGCAUGCUGCCAGAUGGAAUCUCUGACACCCUCUCCAGGCAAUCUCUUAUGCAACAACUGAUUCCUACUAAGCAGAGAGAAAAACUUCAGGUUAAAAAGUUUUCUUCUAUUUCUUUUUAAUCAGUAACAUCAUGUUAGAAAGUUUAUCCUCACUCUGCAUGCUAGCAGUUAUUUUUCUGGGCCCUUAAGCCAAUUGAUCUGCUUUCUACAAAUUUUCAUGAGAAUUUUAUGUGCCUCAUAAUAUAACUUUGAACUGGGGUCUUAAAUAAAUUUAUACUUCCUCUGUUUCAAUUUGUUUGAACCUUUUCGGACUACGAGGGUCAAAUUGACUAUUCUCGGUGUGAAUUCAGGAAUAAAUUCUUUAAGUUUUCUGAAAUAGAUAAAAAAUACUAUAAGUCACAAUAAUUAUCAAUUUAAAAUAUUUAAAACCUAUUUGAAAAAAACACGGUCAAAGAAAACUUUGCUUGACUCCUAAAAUAGUAAUAGAUUCAUUCUUUUUGAAACGAAAAAAGUAUAGUUUAAGUAUGGCCGGCUUCCUUGCUUCCACCAAGGCUUAGGCAUAUGGGAAGUGAUCUCCUAGUACUUUUUGUCUCAGCUAGAAUUUUAAACCUAGACCGCAUAAUUCUCCUCUCACUUUAUUGACCACUAGGUCACACCCUUGGUGCUUGGCUUUAACUUAUAUUUGGCGUCUAUCUUUUUUUUCUUUUAACCAGCAUAUUUGGCAUCUAAACCAAAAUGGGAAGUAUAUAUACACCAAAGUUCGAGAGUAAUCAACAGUGCACGGAGAUUCAAGUUUGAGAUUGGCUCCAGUUUUUCCUAGUAAAAUGGAAAUGAUCACAGCGUUUCAACUAGGAGUAUGUACAAACCAAUCAUUCUUCCAAAUCUAUAUUCAUUGACUAAAGGUCAAGGGUAUUUUCCAUAACCCAUGCUUGUAAAAGAAAACAUACGCGUCCAUUUUCGAAUAAAGGGAAAAAGGAGAAAUAAGAUUGGAACUUGAGCAUCGGAUAACAAAAGGAAAAAAGAGCAGUUAAGGUUUAAGUAGGGGUUUUGUGUAAUACAUUUAGGAGAGUAUCGUGAAAACAGAGAGUAGAGGUUUAAGCAGAGAACCUGGGGCGUAGGAAUCCAGCGAGUUUCAAUAUCGCCAUAGAAAAGGAGCGGAGAGCCUUCAAUUUUCAAACACUGCUACCUUGUGCUUCUUACGCUUUCCUCGGACGAAAUGCCCAAAAAUAAAAGGUCGGUUUUAUUUGUCAAAUACAGGCCAAAGAUUUUGUCUAUAUUUGGUAAAAUCCCAAAUCUUAAAUCCCAAAUUCCAAAAUCAGCUCAAUUGAUUUUGGGCAAAAAUAUCACUAUUACAUUAUUUUAAAAAUUACCCCAAAUUUUUAUAUUUUAUAAAAGAGCCCACCAUUUAUUAUUUUGUAACGAUAUUGGUUCGUCUUCUCGGUCACCUGAUAGUGUAUCAUGUAGUUCAUUAUAAAAAUGAUAAUUUUGUAUCAAAUUUAUUUAUGUUCAGGAUUGUGAUUUGCGAUAAUAUAAUGAAUGUUAUUGAUAAUGGUACUGUUGGAAAUUUGUGAUAGUUUUUAGAACUUAUGAGUAUAAGUCAUAUUUCAUGUUUUUCCAAACCAAACUUCACCCAAAACAGAUGUCCAAACACAUUUUCAUCUUCAAACCAAACUUCAACCAAAUCAGAUUUUUCAGAAUAAAUUUGGGAAUCUAUGGCCAAACGCAAGAACACUUCGAAAUUCAAAAUGGGUAAUUUUGUAUUGAAAAAAAAAAGAGAUAAUGUAAGAGUAUAUAAUCUUUGAGUUCUUUUCUAAAAUAAAAAGAUAAAAUACUAACAACUCAUAAAUUGGCUUUAAUUUAUAAAAAUAAUGUGACUCUAAUAUGAUAUAUUUAGAGGAGUAGAAAAUAUGUUUCUAGACAAACGUGUAGAGUAACAGUGACAAAACAACAACAACAACAAAAUAAAUAAAAAAUAAUUAUCCAUCCUAUUAUGCAUUAAAAUCAGUUGGAUAAUGAACUGUUUAAAAAUAAAUCAAAUAUAGAUAAAAUUUAUAUUAUCCACUAAAAAAAUGAAUACUUAAUGGAUAACCAAUCAGUUUAAUAUUUAUAUUUGCAAAGAUUCAAAUUGGGGGUUCCUCAAAUUUGGGAGAGUAGAAAUUAGGGUUGUGCAUUUGGAUCGGAUAUCCGAAAUCCGAACCGAUCCGCUCAAUUUCGGAUUUCAAAUAUUUGGAUAUUUGGAUCGGAUUUCGAAUUAUGUUUAUUAAAAUUUGGAUAUUCGGAUCGGAUUCGGAUUGGUAUAAUUUUAACCCGAUCCGAUUUGAAAUCCGAAAUUAUUAGGGCAUGUAUAAAUACUAAAAUUUAAUUUCGGAUAGCAAGUACUUCCUUUACAUCUUCCUUCAAGUUAUUACCUUUACAAUUGUUGGAUUUAGCUACAUUGGCACCAUAGUACCCUCAUAAUUGCAGAAAACAUGAAUUUUUCUUGCUGUAUUGCCUCUUCUACAAAGAAAAUAUAAGUAUGAGUUUUGCAACUUAGAGGCAUAACAACUCGAACCUCCAGAGAAAUAUUUUCUUAGAGAUGCAAUGCUGAUAAAAGAGAUGAAAAACAAAGAGAUGUUUGUAUUAGCACAGAACACAGAAGAAGCAGAUAAGGCAGAUACAUUAGCCGAUUAGAUUAGCAAUAGCCUUCAUAAUACGUAUAAUCCGAAAUAUUUAUCCGAUCCGAUAUUAAUUCGGAUUGCAUUUUGUAGAAUCCGAAAUCCGAAAUUUCAAUUCCAAAUGUGAUAAAUCCGAUCUAAUCCAUGCACAUGCCUAGUAGAAAUUCUCCCAAAAGUGAUUACAUUUAAGAAGUCAUGGAUGAUAUGAGUAUUAAUUUUAUCCAGCAGUUAACCUAUUUUUUAUCUGUAUUAAAUACAGACGAAUAAGAUAUUUUAUUCGUUUUUGCAUUACUCAUUUUUUACCCGCCCAUAUCCAAUCUGCUCAUUUGCUACCCUUAGUAUAGAGCGAUGGGAAGAACAAUACUUACUAAUAGUUUUAAUAUUAAUUUAGAUUUGAAAAGAAAUUUUGACUACCAUAAAGUAAAUUAAAAUUUAAAAACUUUUUAGAUUGCAAGUUGAUAAACUGUUUUUAUUAUUAUAUCUAAAAAUAUGACUCUUGCUUUUCAACUAUAGGGUUUUGAAGAUCGAAAGGGUAUAGGGAAGAGAGGUUGAACCUCGAGUUUUUACAAAUAAAAAUAAUUUAUAUUUUUACGGUUGGAUAAAAUGGAUAAAUUAGUCUUUUUAUAUUAAAAAGAGGCUUUUUCAAUGGUUCUUAUAUUUUUUGUUGGUGUUUAUGACUUUUGGAGAAAUAAAUGAAUAGUUUAAUGACUUUUUUUCCUAAAAUAAAGAAAAAUGACCUUGUUUGGUAAAUUCAUCAACCUAAGUGACCAUUUGGAGAGUUAACUCGCACUUCUCCAUAGUCAACAACUGCAAAAUUCCCUUAUUUUUUGUUUGCUAUAUCAUUGACCCUUUCCAUAUCAGAAACUAAGAGCACCUUAUUGUUAAGGCAUGCAAAGAAUUUGGAUCUCCAAGGUGAUCAACUUUAGUUUCUUUACAAAAUCAUAAGUAAACUUGAAUUAGAAAAGAGGCAUGAUAAAUGAUAAAGGGUGAAAAAUGCAUGUUUUGAGUGUGUUUGUGUAUUAUUUCUUGUGUGAGUUGCAGGAGUUCACACAACUUUUAAAGUAAAAAUAUGUUCAUUACGUGUUUAUUAUGUGUAGGAACGAACUUGCGCGAAAAAUGAACAAAUAGGAGAAAAUUAGUGAAAGAAAAGUUGAAGAGUGAAAUCUUGGAUAAAUCAGCAACUGGGAGCGGUCUCGGGAGCACAUUUGGACGCGUUCCAGCUUCUCCAAUCCGAAUUAGGAGAAGCCAAACUCGCCCAACUCAAUCCUACUUCAUAUAAAUGAUAGCUAGCCACCUUUUGAAGGGAUAGAAGACUUUGGAGAGGCAAGAACACACUUGGAGUAAGGAGAAAGAUUCAACUUCAUAUUUUUUUCCUCUUAUCUUCCUAUUUCCAUUGUUAUGAAUUUUAGCCUUGUAAUUGUGCAAAUAAUUAUGAGUAGCUAAAUUCUUAUCUAGGAUUUUGUAACAC
rnacentral:lncRNA from 1 species